rnacentral:rRNA from 1 species
GGGUCAGUAGGUUGGUCGUGCCACCGGUACGUACUGGUCUCACUGAUUCCUCCUUCCUGAAGAACCGUAAUGCCAUUAAUUUGGUGUUGCGGGGAAACAGGACUGUUACUUUGAAAAAAUUAGAGUGUAUAAAGCAAGAUAACGCUUGAAUACAUUAGCAUGGAAUAAUGAAAUAGGACGAUCGAUCCUAUUUUGUUGGUUUCUAGGAUUGACGUA